rnacentral:tRNA from 1 species
GCGCUGGUGGUUCAGUGGUAGAAUUCUCGCCUGCCACGGGGAGACCGGGGUUCGAUUCCCCGCUAGCGCA